UAACCUGCCCAAGAGAUCGGGAUAACACCUGGAAACAGAUGCUAAUACCGGAUAACAACAGAUGAUGCCUAUCAACUGUUUAAAAGAUGGUUCUGCUAUCACUCUUGGAUGGACCUGCGGUGCAUUAGCUAGUUGGUAGGGUAACGGCCUGCCAAGGCGAUGAUGCAUAGCCGAGUUGAGAGACUGAUCGGCCACAUUGGGACUGAGACACGGCCCAAACUCCUACGGGAGGCAGCAGUU
rnacentral:rRNA from 1 species